UACGUAGGGUGCAAGCGUUGUCCGGAAUUACUGGGCGUAAAGCGUGCGCAGGCGCCUCGCAAGUCGGUUGUGAAAUCCCGGGGCUCAACCCCGGGACUGCGUCCGAUACUGCGAGGCUGGAGGUAGGUAGGGGAGAUCGGAAUUCCUGGUGUAGCGGUGAAAUGCGCAGAUAUCAGGAGGAACACCGGUGGCGAAGGCGGAUCUCUGGGCCUUACCUGACGCUGAGGCGCGAAAGCUAGGGGAGCGAACAGG
rnacentral:rRNA from 1 species